rnacentral:rRNA from 1 species
UACGGAGGGUGCAAGCGUUAUCCGGAUUCACUGGGUUUAAAGGGUGCGUAGGCGGGUUGGUAAGUCCGUGGUGAAAUCCCCAAGCUUAACUUGGGAACUGCCGUGGAUACUAUCAAUCUUGAAUAUCGUGGAGGUAAGCGGAAUAUGUCAUGUAGCGGUGAAAUGCUUAGAUAUGACAAAGAACACCAAUUGCGUAGGCAGCUUACUACACGAUCAUUGACGCUGAGGCACGAAAGCGUGGGGAGCAAACAGG